rnacentral:rRNA from 1 species
AUGCCACUGUCAGAAAAUGCUACAGAGGAUUUUAUUGCUUGGAAUCACACAAAAUCAUUUUCCUUUACGGUCCGGUCAGCAUAUUACGUUGAGUGGGAACGCCAAUUUGGACCGAGAUGUUCGAGUAUUCAGAGCACAUCUAAUAUGAACCCAAUUUGGGAAACAGUUUGGAAACUGGAAAUACCUAGCAAAGUUAAGAUCUUUGUAUGGCGGGCGCUGCAUGGCUUGAUCCCUAGCAUGGCUGGGCUGGCUCGACGACAUAUCAAAGUUUCACCACUAUGCCCUGUGUGUCGUUCUGGCGUGGAAGACAUCAAACAUCUAAUUUUCAGUUGUCCAAGAGCAGUUUUAGUUUGGCGUGCACUGGGAUUAGAUGUCAUCAUUAAGCAAGCUCUUAGCGUGGAUCGUUCUGGCUCAGUAGUACUGGAAGAAUUGUUGCGCUGACCGUGUGGGAGCUCACCGGUGCUUGGGCAGCUGGGUCUACAUGAGACGUUGGCAGUUGGCGCGUGGUACAUUUGGUGGAAAAGAAGGGAAGCAUGCAAAGGAGAAAGAGUUAAACCCCCAAACAGCACAGCUUUUGCUAUUCAUGCAAUAACGGGCAACUCGGUGAGAAGACCGGGAACAUCCAAGGAUUGA